rnacentral:rRNA from 1 species
GUGUGGAAGCGCUGUGAGGCGUGUAGCUUACUGGUACUAAUAGCUCGAUAGGCUUGAUCGUUCUU